rnacentral:tRNA from 1 species
GCGCUGGUGGUUUAGUGGUAGAAUUUCUCGCUUCCAACGAGACGACCCGGGUUCAAUUCCCGGCCCGCGCA